rnacentral:lncRNA from 1 species
UUGUGUGUGACCCCUUGGGUUCCAUACUUAGCCAGCAAUAGGUGUGAGUGCGAGUUGACCCAACUUGAUUAGAACUCUUCUAAUUGAUUUAAGUCCAAACUGCGCGAACCCGAACUUAACAAUUAGAAUCCUUUCUAAUUGGUGAUCGAAUUAAACUCUUUAAUUCGAUCAAACCUAUAAGACAAGAUUGACGUCUAGCAACGUGUCAUGUCUA